UUUAUGGAGAGUUUGAUCCUGGCUCAGGACGAACGCUGGCGGCGUGCCUAAUACAUGCAAGUCGAGCGGACUUGAUGGAGUGCUUGCACUCCUGAUGGUUAGCGGCGGACGGGUGAGUAACACGUAGGUAACCUGCCUGUAAGACUGGGAUAACAUUCGGAAACGAAUGCUAAUACCGGAUACGCGAGUUGGUCGCAUGGCCGACUCGGGAAAGACGGAGCAAU
rnacentral:rRNA from 1 species